rnacentral:pre_miRNA from 14 species
AGCGCCGGUGCCAUGUUCUUUGACUGACUCGGCUGGCGCCCGUCGGUUUGUCACAGAACGGGACCAGCCGCAU